GCCCGAGUGGCGAAAUGCAUACGCACUGGUCUUAGAAACCAGUUCCUUCGGGAGUGAGAGUUCAAGUCUCUCCUCGGGUACCA
rnacentral:tRNA from 1 species